GUGAAUAAAGUCCAUCUUACCUUUUUUAACAAGUCUCACUGAAUAUUUUUUUCUUUAACAGUUACAGAGCCAUAACUCAGAUGGGAUAAGAUUCAUCAUUGGGCCCCUGGACUUCUCACCUAGGAUCCCAAGAAUGCACCUUUGAAGCCUUUGUCUUCCCUCCUGCCUAAUAGAUUGGGGAUCUGUGGGAGAGUAUGACUCUGGAACCAGUGCUUCAGACAGACAUUGUUGAAGCUGCCAGACUGCAACAGGAUAUAAACCUGAGGAUGUUAUUUGUGUGGGAUUCUACAACUUCAUCACUGGAUCAAGUGGACAUACAAGGACCUGCACAUUUGAUCCUCGCUCCUCCCCAAACCCCCCACACAUGGAUUCAUCAUCCUCAUUUUUGUGCUACCGACCUUUGCACAUGCCACUUCCUUUGCCUGGAAAGGAUUUUCUGA
rnacentral:lncRNA from 1 species